rnacentral:misc_RNA from 1 species
AAUUGAUCACCUCCACUUGUCCC